rnacentral:rRNA from 1 species
GUGCUUGCACCGGUAAAACGUUAGCGGCGGACGGGUGAGUAACACGUGGGCAACCUACCCUGUAGAUUGGGAUAACUCCGGGAAACCGGGGCUAAUACCGAAUAAUACAUUUCAUCUCAUGUUGGAAUGUUGAAAGAUGGUUCUGCUAUCACUACAGGAUGGGCCCGCGGCGCAUUAGCUAGUUGGUGAGGUAACGGCUCACCAAGGCGACGAUGCGUAGCCGACCUGAGAGGGUGAUCGGCCACACUGGGACUGAGACACGGCCCAGACUCCUACGGGAGGCAGCAGUAGGGAAUCUUCCACAAUGGGCGAAAGCCUGAUGGAGCAACGCCGCGUGAGUGAAGAAGGAUUUCGGUUCGUAAAACUCUGUUGUAAGGGAAGAACAAGUGCCGUAGUAACUGGCGGCACCUUGACGGUACCUUAUUAGAAAGCCACGGCUAACUACGUGCCAGCAGCCGCGGUAAUACGUAGGUGGCAAGCGUUGUCCGGAAUUAUUGGGCGUAAAGCGCGCGCAGGUGGUUUCUUAAGUCUGAUGUGAAAGCCCACGGCUCAACCGUGGAGGGUCAUUGGAAACUGGGAGACUUGAGUGCAGAAGAGGAUAGUGGAAUUCCAAGUGUA